rnacentral:rRNA from 1 species
CGUUGAUUACGUCCCUGCCCUUUGUACACACCGCCCGUCGCUACUACCGAUUGAAUGGCUUAGUGAGGUCUUCGGAUUGGCUUCGGAGGGCCGGCAACGACCCACUGUUGCUGAAAAGUUGAUCAAACUUGGUCAUUUAGAGGAAGUAAAAGUCGUAACAAGG